rnacentral:rRNA from 1 species
AUUGAACGCUGGCGGCGUGCUUAACACAUGCAAGUCGAUCGGUAACAGGUGUAGCAAUACAUGCUGACGAGAGGCGGACGGGUGAGUAAUGCUUGGGAAUCUGCCUAUUAGUGGGGACAACCCGGGGAAACUCGGGCUAAUACCGCAUACGCUCUACGGAGGAAAGCCGGGGACCGCAAGGCCUGGCGCUAAUAGAUGAGCCCAAGUCGGAUUAGCUAGUUGGAGGGUAACGGCCUACCAAGGCGACAAUCCGUAGCUGGUCUGAGAGGACGACCAGCCACACCGGAACUGAGACACGGUCCGGACUCCACGGGAGGCAGCAGUGGGGAAUAUUGGACAAUGGGGGCAACCCUGAUCCAGCGA